rnacentral:autocatalytically_spliced_intron from 1 species
UGAACCCCUACAAAGGUUCAGGUAGGAUUUGUUCGAGGGAGUUCCUCUUCUGGAUCCCCCGCCUUCGGCGGGGGGCACGGAUGAGGUGCUCUCCAAUUCGUAGCAGAAUGGGCUGGAAUGCUCAACCAUAGAAGGUGAAAGUCCUGUACGCAAAACGAGUUGGGACCUACGAUAAUUUCUCUCGAGUACCAUGGAACACGUGAAAUUCUAUGGGAAACCAGGGCGACUAUCGCUCUAAGGCUAAAUACGUCGUGUGAUCUAUAGUGA